AACUUUACUUGUUUAUAUCUUUUUUUAAGUUAAGCAUGAAACUUGAGAAUUUUUUGCAUUAUUUAGUUUAAAUCUACCUUUUCCAACCAUUUAUAGAAAGUACUGUUUACUACUUUAUAUACUAUUUAUAUGGCUUCAAUUAUAUAUUUUACUUUUCAGAGUUUCAGAGAAAAGUUAUGUUCCAACUUGCUGAAAUUAAAAACAUUUUAGUAAAUAAUGAUCCAAAAGGUUAUAAGCAACUUGAAAGUUCAGAUGAACUUAAUGUUUUAAAAAGAAAAAUUGCAAAUGGAGAUAUCGAAUACUUCACUUUUGUAAAACAGUUAUCAUUAAUUGGCGGUAAAAAUUUAGUUGAUACAAUUAAAAAUAUUUUGCUCUUAAUGCAGCAUGAAUGGUCUAUAGAAGAAAAAAAAGUUUAAAAAGUUGACAAGUCAAUGUAUCGCUAUCACUGAUGCUGCUUCAAAUUCAAAUAAAAGCUUAACCAAAAUGGAUCUCAUGCAACUUAUUGGAAGAUUAAAUAGGCAUUCUUCUGACCCAUUCAAUAGAAAAUCCACCAAUAUCGAUAUCGAUGAAUGAUGGCUUAAUUAACUUCAAUCAACUGCUGUUUUUUUAUUUAUUUUGCAUUUUUCAGUUAUUUUUUUUUUUACUUAUAAUAUACUAUCGAUUAUGAA